rnacentral:ncRNA from 1 species
GAGAGCCGUGUGAUGGGUGACUAUCUAGCACGGUUCAGAGAGCACGUGUAUGUAGUCUGCGCUGGUGAAUGGAAGCCGUUCCAUUUGGACUCCAU